UACGGAGGGGGCUAGCGUUGUUCGGAAUUACUGGGCGUAAAGCGCACGUAGGCGGCUUUGCAAGUUAGAGGUGAAAGCCCGGGGCUCAACUCCGGAAUUGCCUUUAAAACUGCAUCGCUAGAAUUGUGGAGAGGUAAGUGGAAUUCCGAGUGUAGAGGUGAAAUUCGUAGAUAUCGGGAGGAACACCAGUGGCGAAGGCGGCGACCUGGGCCAAUACUGACGCUGAGGUGCGAAAGCGUGGGGAGCAAACAGG
rnacentral:rRNA from 1 species